rnacentral:rRNA from 1 species
UACAGAGGGUGCGAGCGUUGUCCGGAAUCACUGGGCGUAAAGGGCGCGUAGGUGGUGGCUUAAGCGUGCGGUGAAAGCUCGGGGCUCAACCCCGAGUCGGCCGUGCGAACUGGGCUCACUGGAGCAUAGUAGAGGCAGGUGGAAUUCCGGGUGUAGCGGUGGAAUGCGUAGAGAUCCGGAAGACCACCGGUGGCGAAGGCGGCCUGCUGGGCUAUGGCUGACACUGAGGCGCGACAGCGUGGGGAGCAAACAGG